GUUGUAUGGUUAAGUGACUAAGCGUACACGGUGGAUGCCUUGGCAGUCAGAGGCGAUGAAAGACGUAGUAACUUGCGAUAAGCCCAGAUUAGGUAGUAACAACCAUUUGAGUCUGGGAUUUCUGAAUGGGGAAACCCACGUGCAUAAGCACGUAUCCUUACCUGAAUACAUAGGGUAAGGAGGCGAACCGGGGGAACUGAAACAUCUAAGUACCCCGAGGAAAAGAAAUCAACCGAGAUUCCGAAAGUAGCGGCGAGCGAAAUUGGACUAGCCCUUAAGCUUUACACGCGUUAGACGAACGGUCUGGAAAGUCCGACGAUACAGGGUGAUAGUCCCGUAGUUGACGACGUGUGUUCAGUGAAAUCGAGUAGGGCGGGACACGUGAUAUCCUGUCUGAAUAUGGGGGGACCAUCCUCCAAGGCUAAAUACUACUGACUGACCGAUAGUGAACCAGUACCGUGAGGGAAAGGCGAAAAGAACCCCUGUGAGGGGAGUGAAAUAGAACCUGAAACCGUGUACGUACAAGCAGUAGGAGCAGGCUUUGUCCUGUGACUGCGUACCUUUUGUAUAAUGGGUCAGCGACUUAUAUUCAGUGGCAAGGUUAACCAUCUAGGGGAGCCGUAGGGAAACCGAGUCUUAACUGGGCGUUCAGUCUCUGGAUAUAGACCCGAAACCAGGUGAUCUAGCCAUGGGCAGGUUGAAGGUUGAGUAACAUCAACUGGAGGACCGAACCGACUAAUGUUGAAAAAUUAGCGGAUGACUUGUGGCUAGGGGUGAAAGGCCAAUCAAACCUGGAGAUAGCUGGUUCUCCCCGAAAGCUAUUUAGGUAGCGCCUCGGACGAAUACUACUGGGGGUAGAGCACUGUUAAGGCUAGGGGGUCAUCCCGACUUACCAACCCUUUGCAAACUCCGAAUACCAGUAAGUACUAUCCGGGAGACACACGGCGGGUGCUAACGUCCGUCGUGGAGAGGGAAACAACCCAGACCGCCAGCUAAGGUCCCAAAUUACUACUAAGUGGGAAACGAUGUGGGAAGGCUCAGACAGCCAGGAUGUUGGCUUAGAAGCAGCCAUCAUUUAAAGAAAGCGUAAUAGCUCACUGGUCGAGUCGGCCUGCGCGGAAGAUGUAACGGGGCUAAGUAGUAAACCGAAGCUGCGGCAAUGUGCUUUUGCACAUUGGGUAGGGGAGCGUUCUGUAAGCGGUUGAAGGUGUGUGGUAACGCAUGCUGGACGUAUCAGAAGUGCGAAUGCUGACAUGAGUAACGAUAAAGGGGGUGAAAAACCUCCUCGCCGGAAGACCAAGGGUUCCUGUCCAACGUUAAUCGGGGCAGGGUAAGUCGACCCCUAAGGCGAGGCCGAAAGGCGUAGUCGAUGGGAAACGGGUUAAUAUUCCCGUACUUCUUACAAUUGCGAUGGGGGGACGGAGAAGGCUAGGUGGGCCUGGCGACGGUUGUCCAGGUUCAAGUGCGUAGGCUUAAGAGUUAGGUAAAUCCGGCUCUUUCUAAGGCUGAGACACGACGUCGAGCACCUACGGGUGUGAAGUCAUUGAUGCCAUGCUUCCAGGAAAAGCCUCUAAGCUUCAGAUUGUAAGGAAUCGUACCCCAAACCGACACAGGUGGUCGGGUAGAGAAUACCAAGGCGCUUGAGAGAACUCGGGUGAAGGAACUAGGCAAAAUGGUACCGUAACUUCGGGAGAAGGUACGCUCUUGAUGGUGAAGUCCCUUGCGGAUGGAGCUGACGAGAGUCGCAGAUACCAGGUGGCUGCAACUGUUUAUUAAAAACACAGCACUGUGCAAAAUCGUAAGAUGACGUAUACGGUGUGACGCCUGCCCGGUGCCGGAAGGUUAAUUGAUGGGGUUAGACUUCGGUCGAAGCUCUUGAUCGAAGCCCCGGUAAACGGCGGCCGUAACUAUAACGGUCCUAAGGUAGCGAAAUUCCUUGUCGGGUAAGUUCCGACCUGCACGAAUGGCGUAAUGAUGGCCACGCUGUCUCCACCCGAGACUCAGUGAAAUUGAAAUCGCUGUGAAGAUGCAGUGUACCCGCGGCUAGACGGAAAGACCCCGUGAACCUUUACUACAGCUUGGCACUGAACAUUGACCCUACAUGUGUAGGAUAGGUGGGAGGCUUUGAAGCACGUACGCCAGUAUGUGUGGAGCCGUCCUUGAAAUACCACCCUUGUAGUGUUGAUGUUCUAACGUCGACCCCUAAUCGGGGUUGCGGACAGUGCCUGGUGGGUAGUUUGACUGGGGCGGUCUCCUCCCAAAGAGUAACGGAGGAGCACGAAGGUGGGCUAAUCACGGUUGGACAUCGUGAGGUUAGUGCAAUGGCAUAAGCCCGCUUGACUGCGAGAAUGACAAUUCGAGCAGGUGCGAAAGCAGGUCAUAGUGAUCCGGUGGUUCUGAAUGGAAGGGCCAUCGCUCAACGGAUAAAAGGUACUCCGGGGAUAACAGGCUGAUACCGCCCAAGAGUUCAUAUCGACGGCGGUGUUUGGCACCUCGAUGUCGGCUCAUCACAUCCUGGGGCUGAAGUCGGUCCCAAGGGUAUGGCUGUUCGCCAUUUAAAGUGGUACGCGAGCUGGGUUUAGAACGUCGUGAGACAGUUCGGUCCCUAUCUGCCGUGGGCGUUGGAAGAUUGAAGGGGGCUGCUCCUAGUACGAGAGGACCGGAGUGGACGAACCUCUGGUGUUCGGGUUGUGUCGCCAGACGCAUUGCCCGGUAGCUAAGUUCGGAAUCGAUAACCGCUGAAAGCAUCUAAGCGGGAAGCGAGCCCUGAGAUGAGUCUUCCCUGAUACUUUAAGUAUCCUAAAGGGUUGUCGGAGACUACGACGUUGAUAGGUCAGGUGUGUAAGUGCUGUGAGGCAUUGAGCUAACUGAUACUAAUUGCCCGUGAGGCUUAACCAUACAACACCCAAGGGGUUU
rnacentral:rRNA from 1 species